CAGCCGCCGCGGUAAAACGUAGGGUGCAAGCGUUAAUCGGAAUUACUGGGCGUAAAGCGUGCGCAGGCGGUUAUAUAAGACAGAUGUGAAAUCCCCGGGCUCAACCUGGGAACUGCAUCCAUAACUGCCUGACUAGAGUACGGUAGAGGGUGGUGGAAUUUCCUGUGUAGCGGUGAAAUGCGUAGAUAUAGGAAGGAACACCAGUGGCGAAGGCGACCACCUGGACUGAUACUGACACUGAGGUGCGAAAGCGUGGGGAGCAAACAGGAUUAGAUACCCCAGUAGUCCCUGUCUCUUAUAU
rnacentral:rRNA from 1 species